rnacentral:snRNA from 1 species
AAUUGUAACCGAUGGAGAUGAUC